AAAUCUGGAAAGCCAGGAAACUCCGGGAUUAGAAGGAAGACUUUCAAGAAUAUCAUCAAUGAAGAGCAGUUAGAUUCCCCCCAGAGGAACUCUUUUUCCAAGCUGAGGCCUUCGUUCUUAGCACCAGGAGGGAAAGCAUCCCGGGGACCACACCCUCAGAGGCCGGUUUUCCCAGGCCAUCCCACUCCAACUUCCUGAGGAAGUUCCUAGGUCCAGACUGUAGCAGACGAAACUCUUUGGGGUACAAGGAAGGGUGCCACUUAGUCUGGGACCCAACUUAGUGCCAGUCUGCAGUUACCUUUUGAUACUUUGGAUGUCACAGUGUUGGGCAUUCAGCUUGCGGGGAGCCUUGCUGUGCUUUUGUGACCUCCCAAUUAUUUAUUUAUUUUUUGCUCUUGUAGUAAAAUUACCCGGAAGGUUUUCUAAAGCUAUCCAUGAUGAGGAACACACCUGCCAGAGUCCUGGAUUAGGCAGGCGCACGUGGUGCUCCGGUUUUUACACGCCCAUGUGAACAGGAAUUAUAGGUAACAAUUCCCUUGUGCUGAUGGAGGAGGUUUUCCACCCCCCGACAGAUGUUUAUGGCCUUAACGGACACGUCAUUAUUACCAGCUGUCUUAUCCCAUUAUGUGCCGUGGCACAUGGACAACGCGUGGCACCGUGGUUUCCUGGUGAUUAUCUUGCCCACAGAGCCGAGGCCCUGGUGGCCAGCGGGGGAGCCCUUUGCAGCGUCCCCUGAUGGCUGAGAGUGCAGGUGCCCCAAGUCCUGGACAGGGCUGAAGGACUCCGGGCCGUCCUGGGCAGUGGCGGUCCCGGUGUUGUGUUCCCUGAAGUGCAGUCAGCCUUACAUCAUCUCUGAUAGUGGGGUUGGGCAUUUGAGGUUCGAUUAUGAACUAUCUGAAAGGUUUUUUUUUCUUUUCUUUUUUUAAUCAUUAGGCAGUCCCUAGGUCCAGACCAUACUACGGGAAACUCUUUGGGGCACAAGGAAGGGUGCUACUUAGUCUGGGGCCCUCACGCCUGUGAAAGAGGCAGCACGCUGUUAAAAAUACUUGGCUUCCUUUGGGGGAGAAUUUGGCUGAAUACUGAUGAAGUUUAUGAAAUAUGAAUGCAGCGACGUUGCUGUACCUUAGGUGGUAGGCGUGUGUGAAAGGAGGAAGAAGAAAUAAAAUUGUGUAUAAACGACACUCCGAAACUUGAUGGAAUUGUAUACGUGAUGAGAAUGGCGACAUUUGGAUCGGUGCUUAAUGGGAGAAAAUAAACUGGCUUAAAAAUCUAUAUGUCAAACUAGAUGUGGGAAUAAAAACCACAGGAUCUGAAAUCAUUUGACUUUAUUUUAUAAGCAGAAAAUGCCAACAUGGAUCAACAGGCAUGUUAUGAAGAAUAGAGAUGAAACAGAAUUGGGGGAGGGGGGGGUAAAUGAGGGACCAACACCUAAAUGUAUAAUGAGGUAUGGUAAUCACUGUUUUAAAUAACCCAGAACACUUACUGUACUGCGAGGUAGAGAAUGCGUUGCAGCCAAACCGAAGGUGUAAAUGUGAAAGUUAGGUUGCGUUGGGAGAAAUCCUUUUGAUCCCCAGAGCAUCACUGCAUGUACUGAGAAGCAAAGCUGCACACGAUGUAAUUUUUUCUGUCUUAUCCUGAUUAAUUGACAGCCACUGUAUGCCUCUUUCCUGAAGGUGACUUUACAAUCUCCAGACACAGACAUUUCUCUCAGAAGUGGAGUGAAGGAAGGAGAACCACAAGCUAAAGGCCGUGGGAAGGGGGAAAGUUGGCACUUGGAGAAGUUGUGAUGAACUUGUUGAGAAUGUCGACUGGCAAAGGCAGGUAAGGGAAUACUUGGGAAAACAGAGCCAGGCGAGGUCUGAAGGGCACGGUGAUCUGCUUCCUAGUGUGUGAAAGAAAUCAGCCUGUUUAUUGACUCUUCCAAAUAGUUUUAAAGAAACCCGAAGAAAUGGACAAAGACAGAGAAAAGACAGUCAGAUGUGAGUCUGCCCUCCAGAAGCAAAGAGGCUUCCAACAUCCCAUAGGAUCGAUGCCCGUCCUGGGGAAGGAGCCACUUUAUAGACGUUAAUGGAUUGUCAACACACAGAUCACAGAAGACACAAGACGUAUUUAGCAAGUCUAAAAACUCUUCCAUAAAGUGCCUUGCUUUUCGUUUUCUCUGUGCAGCUCUAAACCCAGUGCAUGGUAAGAAGGCCGCAGUUACCACAUAGCCUGUAGUCCUGGGAACCUUUGUGUGAUGGGGACAUGAUGUCUGAAAGGACAGGGCACCAGGGAGGGUGAACUGCUCACGACUCUCAAUUGUCCAGGUAAAGAAGCAUUGGGAAAGCAGAGGCAAACGAAAUACUCUGAUAAUCAGAAAUGAUUUUUCCUUUGGUGACCGUGCUAGUUGACGGAUGGUGACAAGGGAGAAGUGGCCAGAGGUGUGUGUUACCAUUUCUCGCACUCAGGAGCCACUUCUGAUGAGCACGGUUAUGCAGAGAGCAGACAGUUCUGUAGACCGGGCUGUCAGCCCAGAAGAUGUAAACCUCCACGGUGUAAAGGAUGAAGGCUGAACAUCAGGGAGGGUCUGCAACUUCCUUGAGGCCCCGCAGGUGAAUCGGGGAGGAAGCUGCUGCUGCUCUGAAAGGGCUCAUGAAAUUUCUAAUCUGGAGCUCGGGGGUGUGAGUUAGAUUUGUAGUGCUUACUCUAUCUAUAUGAAAAUAGAUAAUAGAGGGAGAUAGUUACAGAACUAUGAUGCUGCCACUUCUCAUGUUUUAUUAGAAGAAAGCCUGUCAGAGCCAGAAGGGGUCUAUGAAUCAUCUGGCCUAGCCUCUUGUUUAAACCAGAGAUCUAAUUGUGUGAGCUCCCCGUUCUUAGUAUGCAGCGAGGCCAUGCCUGCAACACUAGUCUUCUGCUUUCUUACCUCAUAAUUAUAAUAGUUCCUUCCACUUUCUUGCUGUGCCAGAAGUUCCAAUAAGCUACAGCAUCAAGUUCCCGUCUCCUAGGAAAACCCCCCGAGGAUACUAAGAUGAACACGAGUUAAUCCUGCAUUAGGUAGUGGAUCUGUAUGAAAGUAAGCGCAAGGAGUGUUGGCUGUUCAUCAAUAGUGGAACAUUGUCAGUAAUUGUUAGUUUUUAAAAUCCCGCUGGUCAUUUUUAUUUUUAAUUAAAAAUUAGCCAGUGAGCUUUGUGGCUGUGUCAGUAAAGCCAUUCUAAAGCAUAAAAAUAGUGCCUGAGCCUCGUGGUCUGGCUUAGUGGAUUGUAAAGGACAGGAUGUGGAGCUGAGCAUCUUGUACUCAGUGCUUGUGGGAGCUAGACGCAGCUGGGAGUGGGGAGGGAGGAGGGCGGUGGGGGAAGGAUGUAUCUCAGCAGCAGUCCUGCAAGGCAGCCAGUUUAAGGCCGUGCCUUUUCUGGGAUGUCAAGAGCAAGUCUGCAAAUGGAAUACUACGUAGCCAGUGAAAAUCCUAUUGUACUAGAA